GACGAACGCUGGCGGCGUGCUUAACACAUGCCAGUCGAACGGAAAGGCCCUGCUUUUGUGGGGUGCUCGAGUGGCGAACGGGUGAGUAACACGUGGGUAACCUGCCCUUGACUUUGGGAUAACUUCAGGAAACUGGGGCUAAUACCGGAUAGGAGCUCCUGCUGCAUGGUGGGGGUUGGAAAGUUUCGGCGGUUGGGGAUGGACUCGCGGCUUAUCAGCUUGUUGGUGGGGUAGUGGCUUACCAAGGCUUUGACGGGUAGCCGGCCUGAGAGGGUGACCGGCCACAUUGGGACUGAGAUACGGCCCAGACUCCUACGGGAGGCAGCAGUGGGGAAUAUUGCACAAUGGGCGGAAGCCUGAUGCAGCAACGCCGCGUGCGGGAUGAAGGCCUUCGGGUUGUAAACCGCUUUCGCCUGUGACGAAGCGUGAGUGACGGUAAUGGGUAAAGAAGCACCGGCUAACUACGUG
rnacentral:rRNA from 1 species